rnacentral:rRNA from 1 species
AUUGAACGCUGGCGGAAUGCUUUACACAUGCAAGUCGAACGGCAGCACGGAGAGCUUGCUCUCUGGUGGCGAGUGGCGAACGGGUGAGUAAUAUAUCGGAACGUGUCCAAUAAUGGGGGAUAACGAGUCGAAAGAUUCGCUAAUACCGCACACGCCCUACGGGGGAAAGCAGGGGAUCGUAAGACCUUGCGUUAAUGGAGCGGCCGAUAUCUGAUUAGCUUGUUGGUGAGGUAAAGGCUCACCAAGGCGACGAUCAGUAGCUGGUUUGAGAGAACGACCAGCCACACUGGAACUGAGACACGGUCCAGACUCCUACGGGAGGCAGCAGUGGGGAAUUUUGGACAAUGGGGGCAACCCUGAUCCAGCCAUUCCGCGUGAGUGAAGAAGGCCUUCGGGUUGUAAAGCUCUUUCGCAAGGGAAGAAAACUUAUGAUCGAAUAAAUCAUGAGGUUGACGGUACCUUGAUAAGAAGCACCGGCUAACUACGUGCCAGCAGCCGCGGUAAUACGUAGGGUGCGAGCGUUAAUCGGAAUUACUGGGCGUAAAGCGUGCGCAGGCGGUUUUGUAAGUCGGAUGUGAAAUCCCCGGGCUCAACCUGGGAACUGCGUUCGAAACUGCAAGGCUAGAGUGUGUCAGAGGGGGUAGAAUUCCACGUGUAGCAGUGAAAUGCGUAGAGAUGUGGAGGAAUACCAACGGCGAAGGCAGCCCCCUGGGAUAACACUGACGCUCAUGCACGAAAGCGUGGGGAGCAAACAGGAUUAGAUACCCUGGUAGUCCACGCCCUAAACGAUGUCAACUAGUUGUUGGUAGAGUAAAAUCUAUGAGUAACGUAGCUAACGCGUGAAGUUGACCGCCUGGGGAGUACGGUCGCAAGAUUAAAACUCAAAGGAAUUGACGGGGACCCGCACAAGCGGUGGAUGAUGUGGUUUAAUUCGAUGCAACGCGAAAAACCUUACCCACCUUUGACAUGUACGGAAUUUGCCAGAGAUGGCUUAGUGCUCGAAAGAGAACCGUAACACAGGUGCUGCAUGGCUGUCGUCAGCUCGUGUCGUGAGAUGUUGGGUUAAGUCCCGCAACGAGCGCAACCCUUGUCAUUAGUUGCUACAUUUAGUUGGGCACUCUAAUGAGACUGCCGGUGACAAACCGGAGGAAGGUGGGGAUGACGUCAAGUCCUCAUGGCCCUUAUAGGUGGGGCUACACACGUCAUACAAUGGCUGGUACAAAGGGUUGCCAACCCGCGAGGGGGAGCUAAUCCCAUAAAACCAGUCGUAGUCCGGAUCGCAGUCUGCAACUCGACUGCGUGAAGUCGGAAUCGCUAGUAAUCGUGGAUCAGAAUGUCACGGUGAAUACGUUCCCGGGUCUUGUACACACCGCCCGUCACACCAUGGGAGCGGGUUCUGCCAGAAGUAGUUAGCCUAACCGCAAGGAGGGCGAUUACCACGGCAGGGUUCGUGACUGGGGUG